rnacentral:tRNA from 1 species
GCGGGCAUGGCGGAAGUGGUAGACGCAAGGGUCUUAAACACCCUGUCCUCUGGAGUGCCGGUUCGAUUCCGGCUGCCCGCACCA